GUCCUGGUAGCUCAGCGGUUAGAGCACUCGCCUCGCUAGCGAGAGGACCUGGGUUCGAUUCCCGGCCAGGGCG